rnacentral:rRNA from 1 species
CCUACGGGAGGCAGCAGUGGGGAAUAUUGCACAAUGGGCGAAAGCCUGAUGCAGCGACGCCGCGUGAGGGAUGACGGCCUUCGGGUUGUAAACCUCUUUCAGCAGGGAAGAAGCGAAAGUGACGGUACGUGCAGAAGAAGCGCCGCCUAACUACGUGCCAGCAGCCGCGGUAAU